UACGGAGGGUGCGAGCGUUGUCCGGAAUCACUGGGCGUAAAGGGCGCGUAGGCGGCGCGGGAAGUCCGUGGUGAAAGCCCGAGGCUCAACUUCGGGUCGGCCAUGGAUACUCCUGGGCUUGAGCACUGUAGAGGCAGGUGGAAUUCCGGGUGUAACGGUGGAAUGCGUAGAGAUCCGGAAGAACACCGGUGGCGAAGGCGGCCUGCUGGGCAGUAGCUGACGCUGAGGCGCGACAGCGUGGGGAGCAAACAGG
rnacentral:rRNA from 1 species